rnacentral:rRNA from 1 species
CCCGCCGCGCCCCGCGCCCGUCCCACCGCCCCCGCCCGUGGCGGACGGGUGAGUAACGCGUAGGCAACCUGCCCCUUGCAGAGGGAUAGCCAUUGGAAACGAUGAUUAAAACCUCAUAACACCGCAUUGUCACAUGAUGGAGCGGUCAAAGAUUUAUCGGCAAGGGAUGGGCCUGCGUCUGAUUAGCUAGUUGGUGAGGUAACGGCUCACCAAGGCGACGAUCAGUAGCCGACCUGAGAGGGUGAUCGGCCACAUUGGAACUGAGACACGGUCCAAACUUCUACGGAAGGCAGCAGUAGGGAAUCUUGCACAAUGGGCGAAAGCCUGAUGCAGCAACGCCGCGUGAACGAAGAAGGCCUUCGGGUUGUAAAGUUCUGUUCUUAGGGAAGAAACAAAUGACGGUACCUAAGAAGCAAGCCCCGGCUAACUACGUGCCAGCAGCCGCGGUAAUACGA